ACUACGUGCCAGCAGCCGCGGUAAGACGUAGGACGCAAGCGUUAUCCGGAUUUACUGGGCGUAAAGCGCCUGUAGGCGGUCAAGUAAGUCGGAUGUGAAAGCCCCGUGCUCAACGCGGGGAAGCCAUUCGAUACUGCGUGACUAGAGAACGGCAGAGGGAAACGGAAUUUCUGGUGUAGCGGUAAAAUGCGCAGAGAUCAGAAAGAACACCGAUGGCGAAGGCAGUUUCCUAGGCCGCAUCUGACGCUGAGAGGCGAAAGCUAGGGGAGCAAACAGGAUUAGAGACCCUGGUAGUCCUAGCUGUAAACGAUGGAUGCUAGGUGUGGGCCGGAAAGGCCCGUGCCGUAGUUAACGCGAUAAGCAUCCCGCCUGGGGAGUACGGCCGCAAGGCUAAAACUCAAACGAAUUGACGGGGACCCGCACAAGCAGCGGAGCGUGUGGUUUAAUUCGAUGCUACACGCAGAACCUUACCUGGGCUUGACAUGUAGGUGGUAGUGAAGUGAAAGCGGAGCGACCCUUCGGGGAGCCUACACAGGUGCUGCAUGGCUGUCGUCAGCUCGUGCCGUGAGGUGUCGGGUUAAGUCCCGUAACGAGCGCAACCCUUGUCCUUAGUUACAAGUGUCUAAGGAGACUGCCGGUGACAAACCGGAGGAAGGUGGGGAUGACGUCAAGUCAGCAUGGCCCCUAUGUCCAGGGCGACACACACGCUACAAUGGUCGGUACAAUGGGCAGCGCAGCCGCGAGGUGAAGCGAAUCCCAACAAAGCCGAUCCCAGUUCGGAUUGCAGGCUGCAACCCGCCUGCAUGAAGCCGGAGUU
rnacentral:rRNA from 1 species